rnacentral:rRNA from 1 species
UGGGGAAUAUUGCACAAUGGGCGCAAGCCUGAUGCAGCCAUGCCGCGUGUAUGAAGAAGGCCUUCGGGUUGUAAAGUACUUUCAGCGGGGAGGAAGGCGAUAAGGUUAAUAACCUUGUCGAUUGACGUUACCCGCAGAAGAAGCACCGGCUAACUCCGUGCCAGCAGCCGCGGUAAUACGGAGGGUGCAAGCGUGAAUCGGAAUUAAUGGGCGUAAAGCGCACGCAGGCGGUCUGUCAAGUCGGAUGUGAAAUCCCCGGGCUCAACCUGGGAACUGCAUUCGAAACUGGCAGGCUAGAGUCUUGUAGAGGGGGGUAGAAUUCCAGGUGUAGCGGUGAAAUGCGUAGAGAUCUGGAGGAAUACCGGUGGCGAAGGCGGCCCCCUGGACAAAGACUGACGCUCAGGUGCGAAAGCGUGGGGAGCAAACA